rnacentral:rRNA from 1 species
AACGUAAGGAGACAAACGUUAUCCGGAGUUACUGGGCGUAAAAGGGCGUGUAGGUGGUAUCGUAAGUCUGGCGUGAAAUUUCUCGGCUUAACCGAGGCAGGUCGUCGGAUACUGCGAGGCUAGAGGACGGUAGGAGGCGUGUGGAAUUCCGGGGUGUAGUGGUGAAAUGCGUAGAGAUCCGGAGGAACACCAGUGGCGAAGGC